CCUGAGUAGCAUGAGAUAUCUAUUUCCCAAUAGACGUUGAUGAAAGCAGCAAGCUUAGGGCUACAUGUAAAUCCACUACGACUAACGGCGAUUUAAACCAUUGAGUCAUAAAAUACAGUAACGCUAGCUAGUAGCAAGGAAAGAUCCUAGGGAAAUCUUGAGCCAACCCUACCGUUGCAGUGAAACCUUUGGUGGAUUUGCUACUUUCU
rnacentral:ncRNA from 1 species